AUUGAACGCUGGCGGCAGGCCUAACACAUGCAAGUCGAGCGGAUGAAGGGAGCUUGCUCCUGGAUUCAGCGGCGGACGGGUGAGUAAUGCCUAGGAAUCUGCCUGGUAGUGGGGGAUAACGUCCGGAAACGGGCGCUAAUACCGCAUACGUCCUGAGGGAGAAAGUGGGGGAUCUUCGGACCUCACGCUAUCAGAUGAGCCUAGGUCGGAUUAGCUAGUUGGUGGGGUAAAGGCCUACCAAGGCGACGAUCCGUAACUGGUCUGAGAGGAUGAUCAGUCACACUGGAACUGAGACACGGUCCAGACUCCUACGGGAGGCAGCAGUUGGGAAUGUUGGACAAUGGGCGAAAGCCUGAUCCAGCCGUGCCGCGUGUGUGAAGAAGGUCUUCGGAUUGGAAAGCAGUUUAAGUGGGGAGGAAGGGCAGUAAGUUAAUACCUUGCUGUUUUGACGUUACCUACAGAAUAAGCACCGGCUAACUACGUG
rnacentral:rRNA from 1 species